rnacentral:lncRNA from 1 species
UGGACAGGAAGCUCAGGAAAUGCUUGAUAAAGGAGUGAGUGCCGGCUGCCGCAGGGCCUCCCUCCCCCACCCCCUCCGUGGUCGGUGUGUUCUGAACCCCGUGGUGGCCCCCGCUUUGGGCGUGCACUCGGCGGAAAGGACACGGGCGUUCUGAUUUUUAGCAAACUCAAGCUGGCGACAAAGGACUUGAGUCCCUGCCUUUAUAACUACCUCUGCGUUCAACAAGGAGAGAACAAGACAAGCCACCUCUCCACAGUGGUCUACAGACACAGAGGACACCGGAUACUGUAUGGAGUUCAAGACAGAGUCACUGACUCAUCACUGCGCUACGGAGAACCGCCCCCUGACCCGAUGGAUGCAGUAUCUCCGAGAGGGGUACACAGUGUGCGUCGAUUGCCAGCCCCCAGCUAUGAACUCGGAGAGCCUUCGCUGUUCCGGAGAUGGCCUGGACUCGGAUGGAAAUCAAACUCUCCACUGGCAAGCAAUUGGCAAUCCUCGAUGUCAAGGAACUUGGAAAAAAGUUCGGCGAGUAGAUCAGUGUUCUUGUCCAGCUGUUCACAGUUUUAUUUUUAUAUAGAUUGUGAUAUAAAUAUUUCAGAAUGUGUUUGUAAACAUGCUAAACAUUACCAAGUCAUGUUCAGUGCUUCAUAAACCUUCAAAAACCAUUUGGCCAGAGUCCCUGAACACAUCAUUGCCACACUCCAAAGUAGAGAAGGAAAAUGCACGGGCCAGUUCUCAAGAUACCCAGUACCUUUGUUUUUAUUUUUACUGCGUUGAGGACCCACCCUAAAGAUUCCUGUGGUUUUGUGUCCUUGGCCUUCUACAGAGUCCUCUCGUUCAAAGGUGGCCCACACAACACAGAAUACAUGUCUGUUUGCACUAAAAUUACUACAAUAUGGUCCGUUUAUUGGUGAGUAGUUGGCAUUUAAGGGUAUCCAUGCUUUGAAUCUUGCAUUCCCUCUUUCUGUUCUGUAAUCUCUUAAAAACUUCUCGCUUUAAAACAUGUAUAGAGAUCUAUGUAUACUCUCACACAUACAUUUCCCAUGUAUUAUUCCAUAAAUUUUGAAAUAAUAAUUUAAAGAAAAUAGUCACAAAUAAUCUUCCACAGGACAAGUUAAGAUUUAGUAAGCGUUUUGUAAUGAAAACCCAACAGCUAUAUUAAAAAUACUUUUUUGAAGAAGAAAUUUUCUUUGGUUAAUUGACAAGACCAAUCAAAUGUUCAUUCUAGGUCAAUACAAGUUCCUUAAAUGCCAUAAUUUUCAUGAAGAGAAUUUUGGCACCAAUGAAUGAAACAAUGCUUUAAUUACGAAAAUUUUAUCAACAUUAGCAUUUAAGAUUACUUCUAGGGCUUAAAACUUGAAGCUGACUAAAAUCAUCUUUCAGAUUUAAGUUUAAACUAGCUUCCGGUUUAAUUGAAGUAAACUUACUACUUUUUGUCUACAGCCUACAUUUUCUUCUGUUUGGGGUGGAAGGCAGUUAUAAAUUACGGAAGACAUAGAUUUUAUUAUAAAUGCGAUGACCUCUCUCACACACACAGAAGUAUUAGUCUUCUUUUAUGAUUGGAGAACCAGUGAGCUAGAGACAAAGUGGCUUAAGGGUGGGUUAUUCUGCAGGUCAGCCACAGAGACCGCUCUCAGUUUCUCAUCCCGGACUCAGCAUUGAUGAAAAGCCUGACUAUGCCAAAGACAGCUGGGAAAGCUAAGCCCUUUUCAAUUCUGAAACAAAUUUUAAAUUUAGGAUAUUUUCUCUGAAGAACUGCAUCUUAAAAUUUAAACUUCUUCGGUUUCAUUUGUAUACAAUAUUAUUCACUAACAAAUGAUUUACUAAAAUACAUAUUUCUUGGUACUUAUCAUGUAAUGACGAGAAUGACAAUAGCAAACUUAAUAGGGCUGGAAAAGUCCCUAAUAUUUAAUGCGGAGAGUAGCAGUAUUUCUGACUAUAAAUUCAUUUAACUGUCAGAGUUGUUUUUAUGGUAAAUUCUUCAGAGAUGAAUAAUAAAAAUUUUGAGUCUCAUCA